GGUUCCGUGGCCCAACUCAAUGGUAGGGCGCUGGAUUUCGGCGGCAAUGAAAAGCCUCUGGAGAUUAUCGGUUCAAGUCCGGCCGGGAUCG